CACAAUUGUGAUUUGAGCGGCAAUAUAUGUAAUCCCGCUUUUCUCUUUGGUUGUAACGCUGAGAAUUCAACUUUCCAUAUUUCUUUAUAAUCAUCUUCCAAAAUAUGAUUGAGUCCCCAUGUUUUAUGAUGAUUGAUCGCAUAAGCCCUAAAUCUAUAAAUCCAUAUGUAUUCUGGGGUUUCUUCACAUCGAUUCUUAGGGCAAUCGAUUUAUCAAUCACAUCUGUUUGUUCACAUUGAUUUGGCAUUCAAUCGAUUUGUCAACCCUUAUUUAAGCAGAGUCGAUUCAAGAAGCAGUGGGAGUAAUAUUACCGCACUUCGUAUUGCAUCAUCAAUAAAUUUGCAGCCGCUACCCACUUUUUCCGUUUUUUGGUACCGUACUUUUGGUAUCGGUACCGGUUUGGUACCGAACAGGUGAUGCGCGUGUGCCCGAUAACUACGCAGAUGAGCAUUCUCAAGAGCAAGUACAACUCCUUAUUAAUACACAAGAAAAUGAACCCCAUUAUUCUAUUUUCCCUAUUUAAAUUUGAUUGCACCUGAGAAAAGGUCUUUCAUUCAUAAGCUAUCCUUUAAUAUGCUACAAAAGAAAAGAUGAAAUAGCUAAACAACUCCAGUGCGGAUCCAAACAGAACGCUAACAUGACAAGGUGAAGCCUACCCACGUGUUCAAUGCUGCCAGAGUCACCGGUCGUCUGAAUGUUGACUGAUGUGUGCCGCACAAGGUGGGUCUCUCUCUGUGUGUGAAGGGAUGCUGAAUUUAUAAGACUAUCAAAAACGCAAACAUGGAUGGUAACAGUGAAUACAUCAUCCUGGAGUAGAAACCAAUCCUUAAAGGGGGUAAUAGUUACUCAAUUUGUUUGUUUUUUUAAACUGAUUGAGUGGUUCAUUAGUGCUUAAAAUUAACAUACAUUACACACCUGUUUUGUUCUUCAAGAAUCUUGAACACUUGGGUAAUUGUGGGAAAGUUCUUAUCUUUAUCAUACUAUGCAUAAAUA